rnacentral:rRNA from 1 species
GCUGUCCACGGUGUGGAGGGUGAGGGGGAUGAAGUCGUAACAAGGUAGCCGUUGCGGAAGCAGCGGCUGGAUCACCUCCUUUCUAAGGAGCAAG